rnacentral:rRNA from 1 species
CAAACUGGAGAUGGCGACCGGCGGCACGGGUGAGUAACACGUAUCCAACCUGCCGAUGACUCGGGGAUAGCCUUUCGAAAGAAAGAUUAAUACCCGAUGGCAUAGUUCUUCCGCAUGGUGGAACUAUUAAAGAAUUUCGGUCAUCGAUGGGGAUGCGUUCCAUUAGGUUGUUGGCGGGGUAACGGCCCACCAAGCCUUCGAUGGAUAGGGGUUCUGAGAGGAAGGUCCCCCACAUUGGAACUGAGACACGGUCCAAACUCCUACGGGAGGCAGCAUG